rnacentral:lncRNA from 1 species
ACCAAAGGCCUGUGGUGUAUUCCUUCAGAACCAAUUGGUUUCACAGGCAAGCAUGUUGUCCAUGCAGCUCACGCUAUUUUGGAGGGAAAAUACAAUACACACAGAGACCAGACUUUGGAGGAAUGAGGCCGGCCUUCUGUCAUCUUGGGAAAUGGGAUUCUCUGUGACUCUAGAUUUUCCUCUUCCUGAGACUUCUGUGUGGGACAAAGCAUGUUGUCUCCAUUCCCUGCCCUAUUAUCUCUACGAGUUUACUAGUGUUGGUCAACCUACAUGGUCUGUUGGAAAGGCAUCACCCCAAGCCUCCACCACCAAUAAGCAGGAUCAGAGAAUGAAGAGGAUGGAGAAGCUCAAAAGGGAUCUCCAGAAGAUCAAAAAUGGGAGAGACAACUCCAGGGAAUCCUAGUCAAUUACACUAACAAGGAUUUGAACAACAGAUGUGCCAUCACAGGUCUAUAAGGAUGACAAACAGAACUCUCCAGUGGAAUGGGAACACUCUGGCCGUACAGUCUUAUUCUGACAAAGGCUCGAGAAUUCAAGAUUACGAACCAUAAAACUAGAGCAAAUCUGUGUGUAGGACACUAUUGGCUCAUCAAGCCUGGGAUGCACCAGGGCAUACAGUAGGCACAUAUUUGUUGUAAGGAAUCCCUACAGGAAUGAGAAGACAUGAUGAAGACGCCAAGAUCAUCCCUCUAAAAAUAAGAACUGAGAAUGUUAACUCGUCAA